AUGGAGCCGACCUUGAAAUACCACCCUUUAAUGUUUGAUGUUCUAACGUUGACCCGUAAUCCGGGUUGCGGACAGUGUCUGGUGGGUAGUUUGACUGGGGCGGUCUCCUCCUAAAGAGUAACGGAGGAGCACGAAGGUUGGCUAAUCCUGGUCGGACAUCAGGAGGUUAGUGCAAUGGCAUAAGCCAGCUUGACUGCGAGCGUGACGGCGCGAGCAGGUGCGAAAGCAGGUCAUAGUGAUCCGGUGGUUCUGAAUGGAAGGGCCAUCGCUCAACGGAUAAAAGGUACUCCGGGGAUAACAGGCUGAUACCGCCCAAGAGUUCAUAUCGACGGCGGUGUUUGGCACCUCGAUGUCGGCUCAUCACAUCCUGGGGCUGAAGUAGGUCCCAAGGGUAUGGCUGUUCGCCAUUUAAAGUGGUACGCGAGCUGGGUUUAGAACGUCGUGAGACAGUUCGGUCCCUAUCUGCCGUGGGCGCUGGAGAACUGAGGGGGGCUGCUCCUAGUACGAGAGGACCGGAGUGGACGCAUCACUGGUGUUCGGGUUGUCAUGCCAAUGGCACUGCCCGGUAGCUAAAUGCGGAAGAGAUAAGUGCUGAAAGCAUCUAAGCACGAAACUUGCCCCGAGAUGAGUUCUCCCUGACCCUUUAAGGGUCCUGAAGGAACGUUGAAGACGACGACGUUGAUAGGCCGGGUG
rnacentral:rRNA from 1 species